GGUGACGUAGCCAAGUGGUAAGGUCCGAAGCUGCAACCUUCGUAUGCGCUGGUUCAAAUCCUGCCGUCACCUCCA
rnacentral:tRNA from 1 species